rnacentral:tRNA from 1 species
GCAGUGGUGGUUCAAUGGGAGAACACUCGCCCUCUGUGCAGGAGACCUGGGUUCGUUUCCUGGCCAAUGUU